rnacentral:rRNA from 1 species
UACGUAGGGUGCGAGCGUUGUCCGGAUUUAUUGGGCGUAAAGGGCUCGUAGGCGGCCUGUCGCGUCGGGAGUGAAAGCCCACUGCUUAACGGUGGGUCUGCUUCCGGUACGGGCGGGCUGGAGUAUGGCAGGGGAGACUGGAAUUCCUGGUGUAGCGGUGAAAUGCGCAGAUAUCAGGAGGAACACCGGUGGCGAAGGCGGGUCUCUGGGCAGUAACUGACGCUGAGGAGCGAAAGCGUGGGGAGCGAACAGG